UUUUUUUUUGUUUGUUUUGAGAUGGAGUCUUGCCCUGUCACCCAGGCUGGAGUGCAAUGGUGCGAUCUCGGCUCACUGCAACCUCCGUCUCCCAGGGCGUUUUAGAGUCCCCGUUUCUACGUUCUAUGUGGCACCCUCUUGCCGAGGGAACAUCCAGAAUCCCUCCACUUCCUGUCUAGUUUGAGGCCUCAACACCUUCAUGAUCCAGAGUCCUGCGGCUAUGAGGGGGUGGGCCCACCACCGCCCAGCCCUCCUUGGUGGACGUGGGGACAGGUUUUGCUGAGAAACGGGAGUGCGUUCUGUGUCGGUGUUUGUGACGCCCUGAGACCCUGCUUGGCCUAGCUAAAGUCCAGAAGGCCUGGGCCCCACAGGGCUUGGAUGAGGGCUCAUGGGCCUGUACUUCAGGAGGCCUGAGAGGCCCGGUCAGUCCCAUGAGGCUACUCGGCUUGGCCCGCAGGUCCUCCGAGGCACAGGGCAGAGGGACACCCCAGGGACCCAUCAGACUCACGACACAGAGAAACUCAAGUGGGGUGCCAGGGCCGGCCACAGAGGCCACGGGCUUCCUGCCUGUGAGGAGCCGCCCUGUUUGUCUGAGCCCUUUGGAGAUUUAGGUUGAGUCAUGAGAACCGGUCAUUGGAACAUACACUUUAUUAUGUU
rnacentral:lncRNA from 1 species